UGGCGACCAUAUCCAAAAGGAAACACCUGUUCCCAUCCCGAACACAGUAGUUAAGCUUUUGGAGCCGAUGAUAGUGCCUACCAGUGCGAAAGUAGGUAUCGCC
rnacentral:rRNA from 1 species